rnacentral:lncRNA from 1 species
AUGGGAAAAAUUGGGGACGGCCUACUUUUACAUUUUUUUACGCUCUGCAAUUUAGUUUUCAGCUUUCUAGCUUUUAGCAUUUUUUUCUUUUUCAGCAACCUUAUUUCUGUUGCCAUUAUUUUUACAGCAUUAUAUUUUUUUCAGCAUUCCAUAUUUUUCUUCAGCAAUUUAUUUCCUUUGUUAGUUUAAUUUUUUAGGCAUUCAAUUAAUUUUCUCACAAUAGUUUCUACAC